rnacentral:rRNA from 1 species
UAGGGAAUCUUCCACAAUGGGCGCAAGCCUGAUGGAGCAACACCGCGUGAGUGAAGAAGGUUUUCGGAUCGUAAAACUCUGUUGUUAGAGAAGAACAAGGGUGAGAGUAACUGUUCACCCCUUGACGGUAUCUAACCAGAAAGCCACGGCUAACUACGUGCCAG